AGUCGCGUGGUCUAAUGGUUAUGAUAUCUCGUUCACAGCUAAAGUGAGCCUCUUCUACUGGAAGAUCCGAGAUGGUUCCCGGUUCGAUCCCGGGCGCGACUA